rnacentral:rRNA from 1 species
UACAGAGGGUGCGAGCGUUAAUCGGAAUUACUGGGCGUAAAGCGUGCGUAGACGGUUAUUUAAGUCGGGUGUGAAAGCCCCGGGCUCAACCUGGGAAUUGCAUUCGAGACUGAAUAGCUAGGGUACGGUAGAGGGAAGCGGAAUUUCCGGUGUAGCGGUGAAAUGCGUAGAUAUCGGAAGGAACACCUGUGGCGAAGGCGACCCCCUGGUUGGAUACUGACGCUGAGACGCGAAAGCGUGGGGAGCAAACAGG